rnacentral:rRNA from 1 species
GCAGUGGGACGAAAAGACCCCGUGAACCUUUACUAUAGCUUAGUAUUGGCUUUGGAUAAGUAAUGUGUAGGAUAGGUGGGAGACUUUGAAGUGGCGUCGCCAGGCGUUGUGGAGUCAUUGUUGAAAUACCACCCUUUGCUUAUCUAGAGUCUAACCUCUAAUCAGGGACAGUGCUUGGUGGGUAGUUUGACUGGGGUGGUCGCCUCCAAAAGAGUAACGGAGGCUUCUAAAGGUACCCUCAGUACGGUUGGUAAUCGUACGUAGAGUGUAAUGGCACAAGGGUGCUUGACUGCGAGACCUACAAGUCGACCAGGUACGAAAGUAGAGCAUAGUGAUCCGGUGGUUCCGUAUGGAAGGGCCAUCGCUCAAAGGAUAAAAGGUACUCCGGGGAUAA